AGAACAACCAGUCCAUCAAAGGCAACAGCUUUGCAUUUAGGGAAGAGUUCUUCCCUUCAAACAUGAGCUCUCUCAUUAAACCAGGCACCAAGUUGCUGGUAACAGAAAUAACUCCAGUUGCUCCAUGAUUCCACCUUGCAUCGUGACACUGAUCGUCGUUUCCACUCCAGACCACAAUUCCUUCUUUGGUAUACUGCGCAACACGAUCGUUUCCAACACACUCCUUCACACCCGCAAGAUUGGCAUUUUGAGCAACAGUUUGAAUGACACGUGGAGGAAUGUCUUGGCCGGUUCGUGGUGGUACGUUGUAUAUAAUAGUCG
rnacentral:misc_RNA from 1 species